UGCCCAGCAACUCCUAUCCCAACCUCCUAGUGGUACCGGCCGAAAACUACGAGCAACCUUAGGGAAGA
rnacentral:ribozyme from 1 species